rnacentral:tRNA from 1 species
AGAGACUUAGGUUAACCGCCUAAACCCUAAGCCUUCAAAGCUUUUAAUGGGGGUUAAAAUCCCUCAGUCCCUG